UACUUAGUGGCAGACGGGUGAGUAACAUGUGGGUAUCUACCCUUUGGCCUGGAAUAACACGAGGAAACUUGUGCUAAUACCGGAUAAGUCUUUACGGAGAAAGCUUUAUGCACCAUUGGAUGAGCCCGCACUUGAUUAGUUUGUUGGUAGGGUAAUGGCCUACCAAGACUAUGAUCAAUAGCUGAUUUGAGAGGAUGAUCAGCCACAUUGGGACUGAGACACGGCCCAAACUCCUACGGGAGGCAGCAGUGGGGAAUCUUGCACAAUGGAGGAAACUCUGAUGCAGCGAUGCCGCGUGAGUGAAGAAGGCCCUUGGGUUGUAAAGCUCUUUCGUCGGGGAAGAAAAUGACUGUACCCGAAUAAGAAGGUCCGGCUAACUUCGUGCCAGCAGCCGCGGUAAUACGAAGGGACCUAGCGUAGUUCGGAAUUACUGGGCUUAAAGAGUUCGUAGGUGGUUGAAAAAGUUGGUGGUGAAAUCCCAGAGCUUAACUCUGGAACUGCCAUCAAAACUUUUCAGCUAGAGUAUGAUAGA
rnacentral:rRNA from 1 species